UAGAAUUCCACGUGUAGCGGUGAAAUGCGUAGAGAUGUGGAGGAAUACCGGUGGCGAAGGCGGCCUUCUGGACAGAUACUGACGCUGAGAUGCGAAAGCGUGGGGAGCAAACAGGAUUAGAUACCCUGGUAGUCCACGCUGUAAACGAUGUCGAUUUGGAGUUUGUUGCCUAGAGUGAUGGGCUCCGAAGCUAACGCGAUAAAUCGACCGCCUGGGGAGUACGGCCGCAAGGUUAAAACUCAAAUGAAUUGACGGGGGCCCGCACAAGCGGCGGAGCAUGUGGUUUAAUUCGAUGCAACGCGAAGAACCUUACCUGGUCUUGACAUCCACAGAAUCUUGCAGAGAUGCGAGAGUGCCUUCGGGAACUGUGAGACAGGUGCUGCAUGGCUGUCGUCAGCUCGUGUUGUGAAAUGUUGGGUUAAGUCCCGCAACGAGCGCAACCCUUAUCCUUUGUUGCCAGCGAUUCGGUCGGGAACUCAAAGGAGACUGCCGUUGAUAAAGCGGAGGAAGGUGGGGACGACGUCAAGUCAUCAUGGCCCUUACGACCAGGGCUACACACGUGCUACAAUGGCGUAUACAAAGGGAGGGCGACCUCGCGAGAGCAAGCGGACCUCAUAAAGUACGUCUAAGUCGGAUUGGAGUCUGCACUCGACUCAUGAAGUCGAAUCGCUAGUAAUCGUGAAUCAGAAUUGU
rnacentral:rRNA from 1 species